rnacentral:rRNA from 2 species
GGAGGGUGCAAGCGUUAAUCGGAAUUACUGGGCGUAAAGCGCACGCAGGCGGUUUGUUAAGUCAGAUGUGAAAUCCCCGGGCUCAACCUGGGAACUGCAUCUGAUACUGGCAAGCUUGAGUCUCGUAGAGGGGGGUAGAAUUCCAGGUGUAGCGGUGAAAUGCGUAGAGAUCUGGAGGAAUACCGGUGGCGAAGGCGGCCCCCUGGACGAAGACUGACGCUCAGGUGCGAAAGCGUGGGGAGCAAACAGGAUUAGAUACCCUGGUAGUCCACGCCGUAAACGAUGUCGACUUGGAGGUUGUGCCCUUGAGGCGUGGCUUCCGGAGCUAACGCGUUAAGUCGACCGCCUGGGGAGUACGGCCGCAAGGUUAAAACUCAAAUGAAUUGACGGGGGCCCGCACAAGCGGUGGAGCAUGUGGUUUAAUUCGAUGCAACGCGAAGAACCUUACCUGGUCUUGACAUCCACGGAAGUUUUCAGAGAUGAGAAUGUGCCUUCGGGAACCGUGAGACAGGUGCUGCAUGGCUGUCGUCAGCUCGUGUUGUGAAAUGUUGGGUUAAGUCCCGCAACGAGCGCAACCCUUAUCCUUUGUUGCCAGCGGUCCGGCCGGGAACUCAAAGGAGACUGCCAGUGAUAAACUGGAGGAAGGUGGGGAUGACGUCAAGUCAUCAUGGCCCUUACGACCAGGGCUACACACGUGCUACAAUGGCGCAUACAAAGAGAAGCGACCUCGCGAGAGCAAGCGGACCUCAUAAAGUGCGUCGUAGUCCGGAUUGGAGUCUGCAACUCGACUCCAUGAAGUCGGAAUCGCUAGUAAUCGUGGAUCAGAAUGCCACGGUGAAUACGUUCCCGGGCCUUGUACACACCGCCCGUCACACCAUGGGAGUGGGUUGCAAAAGAAGUAGGUAGCUUAACCUUCGGGAGGGCGCUUACCACUUUGUGAUUCAUGACUGGGGUGAAGUCGUAACAAGGUAACCGUAGGGGAACCUGCGGUUGGAUCACCUCCUUACCUUAAAGAAGC